rnacentral:rRNA from 1 species
GACGAACGCUGGCGGCGUGCUUAACACAUGCAAGUCGAACGUGAUUUUUGUGGAAAUUCUUUCGGGAAUGGAAAUGAAAUGAAAGUGGCGAACGGGUGAGUAACACGUGAGCAACCUACCUUACACAGGGGGAUAGCCGUUGGAAACGACGAUUAAUACCGCAUGAGACCACAGAAUCGCAUGAUAUAGGGGUCAAAGAUUUAUCGGUGUAAGAAGGGCUCGCGUCUGAUUAGCUAGUUGGAAGGGUAAAGGCCUACCAAGGCGACGAUCAGUAGCCGGUCUGAGAGGAUGAACGGCCACAUUGGAACUGAGACACGGUCCAAACUCCUACGGGAGGCAGCAGUGGGGAAUAUUGCACAAUGGGGGGAACCCUGAUGCAGCGACGCCGCGUGAGCGAAGAAGGUUUUCGAAUCGUAAAGCUCUGUCCUAUGAGAAGAUAAUGACGGUAUCAUAGGAGGAAGCCCCGGCUAAAUACGUGCCAGCAGCCGCGGUAAUACGUAUGGGGCGAGCGUUGUCCGGAAUUAUUGGGCGUAAAGGGUACGUAGGCGGUUUUUUAAGUCAGGCGUGAAAGCGUGAGGCUUAACCUCAUUAAGCACUUGAAACUGGAAGACUUGAGUGAAGGAGAGGAAAGUGGAAUUCCUAGUGUAGCGGUGAAAUGCGUAGAUAUUAGGAGGAAUACCGGUGGCGAAGGCGACUUUCUGGACUUUUACUGACGCUCAGGUACGAAAACGUGGGGAGCAAACAGG